UACGUAGGGUGCGAGCGUUAAUCGGAAUUACUGGGCGUAAAGCGUGCGCAGGCGGCUUUGCAAGACAGAUGUGAAAUCCCCGGGCUCAACCUGGGAACUGCAUUUGUGACUGCAAGGCUAGAGUACGGCAGAGGGGGAUGGAAUUCCGCGUGUAGCAGUGAAAUGCGUAGAUACGCGGAGGAACACCAAUGGCGAAGGCAAUCCCCUGGGCCUGUACUGACGCUCAUGCACGAAAGCGUGGGGAGCAAACAGG
rnacentral:rRNA from 1 species